rnacentral:rRNA from 1 species
AUGUCUAUUCCAGUCAGCAUGAGCUUAUCCGCUGUUGGGGUUGUUGGUGCCGUCAACGAAUGUGUCACUUUGUUUCAAUGGGCCAAAUCUGCCAUUCCCUCUCUUUACUCCCGAUGGAGUGGCUCACAGGAGCAAAUUCUCCAGGACCAUGUGUUGCAGUUGGAGAGUGGCCUACAACGCCUCAGGGAUACCCUUCCUGCAAUGUACGACCUCGUUAAUAAAGCAGAGUGGAGAAGCCACGAACAUGUUGUGGCCAAGCUCCUUCCUAAUCUCAAGGAUGCAGUGGCUGAGGCCGAGGACCUUCUUGAUGAGUUUGGAUGGUACGAGAAGAAGGUACAAGUGGAGGGCAAUGCAAGCCAAUCUUCUUUCAUUGACUUCUUUCAUACCGCCGUACAAGGUAGCCUCAACAAACUGAAUGAUGUCCAACUGAGGUUGAACCAUCUUUCAAGUCAGCUGGAGAAUAUGGGGCUCCGUGGAGUUACACGAUGCUUUGACAAAUUAGUCAGACCAGAGACCACAUCUUUGCCAAAUGAAACAAAAAUGUUUGGUCGUGACAAGGAACUAAAGCGGCUACUGGGAUUUCUCAAUGUACCGACAAUUUCAAAACGCAAGAGAACAACUAGUUCAGUCAAUGCAUCCGCAAGCUCAUCAUCAAGCAAUCAUGUUGGUAGUGAAUCGGGAAUAUUGGGUCUUCAUGUUUUGCCAAUUGUUGGAAUUGGUGGUGUUGGGAAGACUACUUUGGCCCAACAUAUUUGUAGUCAUCAACGAGUGAAAUCUCACUUUGAGAUGAUAAUUUGGAUUUGUGUCUCGGAUGACUUUGAUGUGAAGGGGUUAACUAAAGAGGUGAUACAAUCAUGUACUAGAAAUGGGGCAACAACUGAUAAUUUGGAUUCUCUUCAGUGUGAUCUCUCUAACCAUGUGAGCAAUAAAAGGCUAUUGAUAGUCCUCGAUGACAUGUGGGAUGAUGCCUUGAAGGAAAAUGGGCAGUGUUGGAAGAGGUUUUGUGCACCUUUUAGAAGUGCCCAACAUGGAAGUGUGAUGUUGGUCACGACUAGAUGUCCAAAUGUUACCGAGGGGGUGCGCACAAUGGAGCCCGUUAUAGUUGAAGGUCUGAAGGACGACGUCUUUUGGAAUUUCUUCAAAUUGUGUGCGUUUGGAUCUGAGGGUUCUAAUAACGAUCCUGAGUUAGAGAGCAUUGGUAGAAGUAUACUUGCUAAACUAAAGGGUUCACCUCUGGCCGCCAAAACUCUAGGACGCAUGUUAAGCAUGGACCUUCAAGCAUCACAUUGGAAUUCUAUACUCGAGAGUGAACUGUGGGAGUUGAAACAAGAGGAGACUGACAUUUUGCCUGCACUUCGGUUGAGCUACAUGUACUUACCACUCUACCUGAAGCAAUGCUUUGCAUUUUGUGCUGUGUACCCUAAAGAUUACAGAUUUCAUAAGGCACGCUUAGCUGAAAUUUGGGUGGCAGAAGGUUUUGUGGAUCCUCAGUGUGGUGUUCCAAUUCAAGAUAUUGGUUGCCAGUAUUUUGAAGACCUUGUAAAACGAUCCUUCUUUCAAAUAAUUAGUAGUAGAUAUGUAAUCCAUGACUUGCUACACGACAUGGCACAAAUGGUUUCAAAGCAGGACUGCUGCAUCUUAAGAAAUAGGAGUGACUUGGAUAAAGUUCCCCAGAAUGUUCGUCAUCUCUACGUACUCCCUAGCAGUGAGUUUGAUGAUUCCAGCUUGUUAAAGCUAUGCAAUUACACAAAGUUGCGUACCCUAAUUUGCAAGAAGGAUUUAAAGAGAAAAACAGGCUUUGUAAUGGGCGAAUGGUGUACUAAACUUCUGUGUAUGCGCGUGAUUUCUUGUGACUCCACAAAUGAGUUACCAGAUAAUAUUGGCAAUUGGAAGCAUCUUCGGUACCUUGAAAUCAACAAAGCUCGCCCUCUGAAGAAAAUCCCUUCAACUUUUUGUUGGCUUUAUCAUCUUCAAAUUUUAUAUGCCAAGAAUUGCAGGCUAGAAUGCUUGCCCGAUGACUUUGGUAAACUGAUUAGUUUGCAGAAGUUUGAAUCAGUUGGAUUAACAUAUUAUGAUGGGUGUCGCAUGUAUCUUGGUCCAGAUAACAAGUGGAGAAAGAUUACGUUAAUGAAGAAUCUGAACCAAUUCCGUGGGCACUUGGAGCUUAUUGAUGUGCACUUGCUAAGUAAAGAUCAUGCCGCAGAACUAAACCUGAAGAAUAAGAAAUAUCUUGAUGAGUUGAAACUGAAUAUGCGGGAGGAUCGUCCCACAGGUUUCCCUGAGUCUGAUAUUGAGUUUGAUAUCGACAACAAUGAUGUUGAAGUGCUUGAAGUUCUACAGCCUCCUAUCAGUCUCAAGUCUUUGUUCCUCCAAAACUAUGACGAUAGCUGGCUCCCAAGUUGGUUUCAACCACAUAACCUACCAAGAUUAACAUCACUUACUGUUGUACAUUGUUUUCAACUCGAGAGCAUAUCACCUCCUGCAUCACUUGAGAAAUUGGUGAUCAAUGAUUGUCCAAACCUAGUUUCAAUUGGUGGAGCAAAGGCACUUGCAAGAAUAAAGACCGUCGAGAUAUCCAUGUGUCCAAAGUUAAAGGAAGCGGAGCAGAUCAAUACAAUAUCCCACCUAAGGGACUGGAGGCACCGGAGAUAA